UUUUUUUUUUUUUUUUUUUUUUUAUAAAAGCCUCACAGAGCUUUGUUUUGUUUUGUUUUUUUAAAGAUUUACUUAUUUAUUAUGUAUACAGUGAGUGUUCGGCCUGCAGGCCAGAAGAGGGCACCAGAUCUCAUUGUUGAUGGUUGUGAGCCAUCAUGUGGUUGCUGGGAGUUGAACUCAGGACCUCUGGAAGAGCAGCCAAUGAGUGCUCUUAACCUCUGAGCCAUCUCUCCAGCCCCUUGAGUAGCCUUUUAAGAAAGGGGCAUGAGCCUGGUGGUGGUGCACACCUUUAUUUCCCAGUGCUCAGGCAGGCAGAUCUCUUGGGUUUGAGGCCAGCCUGGUCUACAGAGUGAGUUUCAGGACAGUUUGUUUUCAAGAUAGGGUUUCUCUGUGGAGCCGUGGAUGUCUGGAACUUACCCUGUUUACUAGGCUGCCCUCAACUCAGAGAUCAACCUGCCUCUCCUGGGAUUAAAGGUGUGCAUCACCACUGCCCACCUGAAACCCCAUCUUGCAAAGCCAAAGGAAAGAAAAAGGGUAUAAGCUAGACAGAGGCAGGAAGACCUCUCACGGGCCAGCCAGGGCUACACACUGAGACUUAGCAUCCCAAAAAGGUAAGUAACAAGUGGAACUAUGAGGUAGGCCAUGUUAUAAAAGCUGGCAGUUGGGUUUAGCCAGCUCUGAUUGGCUUUCAGAUGGGAAAGAUCGUGAAGAUGCUCCCGUCUAGGCACUUUGGAGUACACAUUGGGGCUAGCUGCUAAUCAGGACGGUUGAUGGCCUAGAGAAAAGACGAGCUCAAUCCAUUGGAUCCCAUGAGUGUAUGUGUCUCUAGGGUUGACGAUUAUGGGGAGAAAGGAGUUAGAACAUGGAUAGAAAGUAGAAUUGAGAUUAGUACUAUGAUUCUCCAGUCUCAGCCAUCAUGAUUGCUCUGAGCACACCCCACGGAAUUGAGUAGAAAAAACACAAAUCUGACUGAAAUGGUACCCUCUUCAGAGCAUUGCAGGCGGGGAAGUAUAGUGGGUAACUAACUCCAUGGAGUUGCCUUAAUAAAUCCCCACUCUGUGAAGGGUUGUGGGAAAGUGGACAACACGGAACCGGAAUCUCCAGCCGUGCCAUUACUGGAUUCCUGGUUCACACACUGAGGGCGUGGACGGGAUGUGUAUUGCUUUCAACUACCAAAUGAUUUGUUAGGAAGGAGCAGGUUGAUUCCUGCACCAGAGCAGAUACCUACGUAUACUCAGGCUGGCUUCUCUGGCUGUUUGCAGGAGGGGCCAGUUCUUCACUGCAUUGAUCCUGGUGGCUAGGAAUUUAGCACCUCAGACUGGGUUUAGUAGAGUAACCUGAGGUCAAGGCAGGUGGGAUGAGUGGUCAUGGAGAAGAGGUGCCUGGGAGCAAGCAGUUCCAAAAGCAGGUCUUUAGUGAUUUGUUGUCAGGGGCAUGAAGAUUGGGUUGAGUAUUAAGGAUUCCUUAACCUUGGGACUGCAGUGGACCAUCUAACUUCCAGAAAAUGGGCUCACACUUGGUUUGCUUUUCUGGCUUCCAGCUUGAGCUCUAGCAGACAUCUGCCUUAGCCUUCAGCAUAGGCUCUCAACCACCACACAUGCUUUUCCCUUGAACAUAAAAUAGUUUGCUUGAGGAAGGGUUUUGUGUAGCCUAGCCAUGAACUCCUCAUUCCUAUCUAGGCCUUUGAAGGUCUGGCAUUACAGUUGUAUACCACCAUGUCCAGUGAGAAAUAAACUUUAAUUUUCUGCUUUAUAAUUUCUAAUGCUUUACCAUUUUAAAGAAAGGUUUAUUUUUUUAUGCAUAUGAAUGUUUUGCUUGUGUGUGUGUGUGUGUGUGUGUGUGUGUGUGUGUGUGUGUGUGUACCUCAUUCCUUUCUGGUGUCCCUGGAAGCCAGAAAAGGGCGUUGGGUUUCCUGGAACAGGAGUUAUAGAUGGUUGUGAGCCACCAUGUGGGUGCUGGAAUUGAACGCUGGUCCUUUGCAAGAGCAGGUGCUACUAACUGCUGAGCCAUUUCUCCAACCCCAUCAUUAAAAUACUUUUUAAAAUUACGUGUCUGGGGGUAUGUGCUCAUGAGUGCAGUGCCAGGCAGUCCAGAAGAGGGCGUCAGAUUUGCGGGAGCUGAAGUGAGCCUUCUGAACGCAGGAUCCUUUCCUGCCACAUCAACUAAGAAACUGCACUGAUGGUCUAAUUUUUAUUUGUAGAAGUGUGGGUUGUCCCCCCCCCCCCCCAUGUUGCUAUUUAAAAUUGGUGCCAGAGAAAUAGCUUGAGCGAAUUUGUAUAAUUUAUGUGCAGAGCCUCCUGCAAAGGUGUGCCACUUGCUGUCCCAGAGCGCAUGCGCCCAGAUGUCUCAACACCUACCCCUCAGACCUUCCCAGUGCACACGCUUCGGAGCCCGAGGGGCGUGUUAGCCCCUCUCAAGUGCGCACGCGCUCAGGCACACAGCAACCAGUCUACUCCGCCAGAACGUCGGGUGGUGGGGCCGCGGUACCACUGAGAUGAGGCCUCCGGGCGGCCUAGAGGGGCCUGCGUGCGCUCGCGCUUCCGGGUCUCGCAUAUCCAAAGCCGGGAGACAGAGUGCAAGAAGCCAGGGACACCAGUCAUGCUUCAAACCGCUUGGCCACAGGAGUUGGUGACCUUUGAGGAUGUGGCUGUGUACUUUACACAGAGCCAGUGGGACAGCCUGCAGCCUGCGCAGAGGGCGUUGUACAGGGAUGUGAUGCUGGAGAACUAUGCCCAUGUGGCUUCUCUGGUUGAAUGUCCAGCUCCCAAACCCAUUCUCAUCUCCCAGCUGGAGAGAGGAGAAGCGCCCUGGGCCACAGAUCCCUGGGCCUCAGAGUGCCUAAGAGGCUGCAGUCCUGAUGCUGAGUCUUGGACCAAGGACGAAGAGCCCUCUUUGAAGCAGGAAGCCUCUGGAGAGAGAGCAGCCUGCAGAGUGCCCAGGGGGAGGGUGCUCAGAACGGAUGCUCAGCACUGUGCCGGUGAGGACAGCAGGACAGGGAGGCAGAUGUUCAGUUCCAAACCAAAGCUGGCCCAUCGAGGAGGCAUGAAGUGCUAUGAAUGCAGAGAAUGUGGGAAGAUCUUCAGGUUCAACUCCAAGCUGCGUCGCCACCAGAUGAGUCACACUGGGGAAAAGCCCUUCAAAUGUAAAGAGUGCGGCAAAGCAUUCAAGUUCAGCUAUGAAUGCGUCAUCCACGAGAAGAAUCACCUUGGCGAGGGGCCCUAUGAAUGUAAGCAGUGUGGGAAAUGUCUGAGUUCCAACAGAUCCUUAACCCAGCACCAGAUGGUCCACAGCAGAGAGAAGCCCUACGUCUGCCAGGAGUGCGGCAGGGCCUUCGGGAGGAGCUCAUCCUUCUUCCAGCACCGGAGGCUGCACACGGGGGAGAGCCUCUUCCAGUGCCAGGAGUGCUGCAAAGUGUUUGGUUACAGGUCCCAGUUACUCAUCCACCAGCGAGUCCACACAGGGGAGAAGCCCUACCAGUGCCUGCAGUGUGGCAAGGCCUUCUCGUACAAAGUGGCUUCCCUUCAGCACCAGACAGUGCACACUGGGGAGAAGCCGUAUGCGUGCAAGGUGUGUGGGAAGGCUUUCAAGUGGUACAGGAGCUUUGCUCAGCAUCGGAAACUGCACUCCGUGGAGACGAAGCCGACUCAGGGUGAUCCAGCCUUAGCUCAGGCUCCUCCGCAGGAGCCCGGUGCCUCUCCUGCAGCUGUGCCUCUCCUGGCCUUUCCUCGAGCUGUGCUGAUUCAGACUUCCAGCCCUUUGCUCAUGCUGCUGCCAGCAUCUGGAGGACCCUCCUCAUCUGCCCAGAUAACGCUCAUCUUCCAGGGCCUUCCUUCCGCAGUGAAGACUUCCCCGGGUUGAAUUCCUUCUCGGCCCUCUGCAGCUUCAUCUUAGCACUUUCCAAAUAGCUGCAGGGUGCCAGCCGACUUCACACUAUUUGCUCAGUAGACGGACUGACAGACCACCAGAUGAACACCGCCCGUGUUUAUAAGCUGAGCUACAAACAACACAAGAAACAGUCUGGAGCCUGGCAAGUUCUUGGUCACCGUGUCCUCCUGAGACUCCAGCGACCUUGGCUGCCACCAUCCUCCAGGUUCCCUCUAUUCGCCUCAGGAUCUGGAAACCCCCCUUUCUCUGCCUAUGUACCUGGUCACUAAUGAGAAGUGUUGAAGAAGGCCUGACCUGUGCCACUCCCGGAGGACUCUACAUCAGCGUCGCCCAGAGGUGCCUGCCUGCACAGCUGUGUUUACCACUGUGCUGUUCACAGUGCCCAGGAUGUGGAGUUAGUCUCGAUGCCCACCAAUAGGAUGGAUGAUUGCUAUAUGUGGGUCUUACUGUGUGUCCUGUCUGGCCCAGAAAUUGCUGUGUAGACCAGACUGGCCUGAGACAGAGAUUUACCACACCUGACGGCUCCUUGGUUCUUCCUGCUUCCUCUUCCGGGGUUGCCGUAGGGCACCAUUUAGGGCCGAGCACUCAGCAGUCCCCGUUCUCGGCACACUGACGGUUUGAGCCUCUGCGUUAACUGGUGACCACUGUGCACAGAAGCUUCUCCAAGGCUGAGGGAAGCACGGAUCCAGCUCUGUCCUGCCUAUGAACAGAAAACCACCGCUUUGGGCACCAGAGGCCGGAAAUAGACUGGGAGCUUCCCGCCUAAGGCCAAGGCCUGUGAGGGCACCUGUGCAGACCACACUGCCAACUCCGGUCUGUGGUUCGUCGGAGUGGAGUGAGACAGAGUUUUCCCGGAGCUGCAGAUAUUCUGUUUUCUGGAACAAGAUCCUGGUGACUGGCUUUGAGAAGUGCAAAGGAGGUUGUUCCUGGACCCUGGCCUGUGAGCAGGACUCUGUGUGGUCCGAUGCAAGCCUGUACUUGAGGGAAGCUCCUUCCCGCACUGUUCCGGAAGCUGGAACCUGUGAGCACAGACCUGUUCACCUCUUUCUGAACAUCUUCUUUCAGUUUAUAGAUUAGCCACCAUUUUCCUGUCUUUGUGGAUGAGGAAAGAGAAACGUAAGUUCUCAGUGUCUUUUCCUAUAGGACACUAACACCUCAGUCAGGGCCCCACCCUUCUGACUUCAUUUAGUUUUAAUUACCUCCUGUUGACCUUGUCUCAAUUGAGGACACCAGCGUGUGGAAUUUGGUGAGACAUAGUUCAGUCCAUAAUAUCAUCCACAUCCUCUUUUCAGAGGACUUUCCAGUUGUUCCCUGACAUGGGGAAAUGAUGACAUAGGGCAGUAGGAAGGCAGGUGCCCACUCUGGGGCUUAGGCAGGUUCACCAGAAGCAAAUGCUGAAAGGAGACACCUCUCCCCGUCCCCGUUUGUGUGUGUGUGUGUGUGUAUGUGUGUGUGUGUGUGUGUGUGUGUGUGUGUGUGCGCGCGCGCGCGCAUAUGAUCAGAGGACAAACCCAAGAGUCUUUCCUUAGAAUGGUCCACUGUGUUUAUUUAAGACAGGGUCUCUCACUGGGACUCGGAGUUCAUAGUUAGGCUAGCCUGGCGGGCCACGGAGCCCAGGACUUGCCUGUUUCACCUUCCCAGCACGGAGGUUGCAAGCACCGUCACGCCUAGCUUUUUUUUUUUUUAAAUAAAUAUGUAUUCUGGGGAUUACACUCACGAAUUAGCUGAGCUAUCUCCCCAGCCUGUGAGAGGCCUCUGUGUAAAUGUGGGGCUGAGGCUGCUCCCUAGAACGUUGACAUGGAUAUAGGGCAGGCCAGGGUGAGAGCUGGGCCACAGUUCUCCAGGCUUCACCCUGACUCUUCACGGGGGCCGGCAGUGCAGCGACAGCUUAAAGGCUCAUGUACCACAUCUCGCUAAGGGUGGUCUUGAGGGGACAUAUCUCCAGUCUCCACAGGUGUGGGAGCUGCUGUAGGAGCCCAAGGGCUUUCCCCAAAGGAGAAGAAGAUACAGAGGGCAGAGACCAGGGGAGGUGGUGUAGCACCUGCACAUGGGGCUGGAAGAAUUACCUCCUUUUCUAGUUGCUGUGACAAGAAGCCGCUGGUGGGGGGAGGGGACACAGCUCACCAUGGUGGCAGGAGCAGAGGUGAUGUCACAUCCAUGCAGGGAGCAGGGAGAGAUGCUCUCUGGGGCUCAGCACACUUCCCCUUUGGUAUUCAGUACGGAGCUUCAUCCGGUCCACAGAAUAUGCUGCUGGUAUUCGGAGUGAGUCUCACUCUCUUGACUAGCCUAACUUGGAAAGCACAGGCACUCUCCGAGGUGAUCCUACAUCCCGUGGACUUGACAAUAGUACUGUCACAGAGGUGUCUGGGCGAAGCCUUCAAUGUUAAAGUCUGAGCCAGUGGCAAAGUGUGCAUCUGAGACUCCCUAGGCUCAAGUCGCUGACAGAGUCAGGCACACAUGUGAGAAUAUUCUGCUCUUGGAGGUCAUCUGAGGAAGGGACUAGAUCUUUUGUGUUUUGUCGUGGUUGUGCUUUGAUAAUUUCAUAUGUGCAUAUAAUUAAAUAUGGCCGUAUAUACCCCUACUUUCCCCAGCCAACUCCCUCCAAAUCCCCUCCCACAUCUACCUCUCAGUUUUAUUUCCUCCUCUUCUUCCUCACUGUGUACAGUUAGUGCUGCCUGUAUGUGUGAGGAGGAGGGACCAUCUACUACAACAUGGGGAAUCUUCCCGCAGCCAACCUCUCAAAGACUGACUCUCCCUCCCUGGGUGCUGUCAGUCACCAAAAGCCCCUCAGUGAGGGGUGGGUCCUUGUGAGUUCCCUCCAUCCAUGCCUGGAUUUUGGUUGGCUUGCUCACGGGCGGGUAACCACAGCUGCAAUGAGUUCUGAGUGCCAGUCAUGUGAUGUGCAAAGACAGCAUUUCCGUUUUCCUCCCCAUCCUCUGGCUUACUUCCUCUCUGCUUCCUCCUCUGUGAUGUUCCCUGAACCUUUGGAUUUGGACUGAGCACUCACAGUCACUUAGCUCACCCUUGGACCAGUUGUGAGCCUCUGCAGUGGCUAUUGCCACUGUAAAAGGAAACUUCUCGAGCACAGUUGAGGGCAGGCCAGUAGCUUCUGGGUACUCUUCCAUCCCUACACCAGCAGACAGUAGAUGCUCAGGCUGCAGGGCUGCUUGGAGAGCAGGCCACGAGAUGCCCAGAUGGGGCCAGAGCAAUAGGUAGAAUCAGGUGUAGCUGGCCUCUGCUCUGGGCCUCUCCCAGAUAGGCACCCUGCCACUGCCAGGGGUGCAGUGAGGAGGCAUCUCCUGGGGGUGCAGUGAGCAGUCAUUUUUGGGGGGUGCAGUGAGGAGUCAUCUUCCAGGGGCACAGUAAGAAACCAUCUCCCAGGGAUGCAGUGAGGAGCCAUCUCCCAGGGGCACAGUAAGAAGCCAUCUCCUGGGGUGCAGUGAGCAGUCAUCUCCUUGGGUACAGUGAGCAGUCAUUUCCUGGGGUGCAGUGAGCAGUCAUCUCCUUGGGUGCAGUGAGGAGCCAUCCCCUGGGGUUCAGUGAGGAGCCAUUUCUAUGGGGUUCAGUGAGGAGCCAUUUCUGUGGGGUGCAGUGAGCAGUCAUCUCCUUGGGUGCAGUGAGGAGCCAUUUCCGUGGGGUGCAGUGAACAGUCAUCUCCUUGGGUGCAGUGAGCAGUCAUCUCCUUGGGUCCAGUGAGGAGCCAUUUCCGUGGGGUGCAGUGAGGAGCCAUUUCCGUGGGGUGCAGUGAGCAGUCAUCUCCUUGGGUGCAGUGAGCAGUCAUCUCCUUGGGUGCAGUGAGGAGCCAUUUCCAUGGGGUGCAGUGAGCAGUCUUCUCCUGGGGUGCAGUGAGCAGUCAUCUCCUUGGGUGCAGUGAGGAGCCAUCUCCUUGGGUGCAGUGAACAAGCAGGAUGCUGAGAUGCUGGUGUAGAUGUAAACCUCCCCCUCCCUUUGGGAAAUCCAAACUGAAAAACUAUUAGAAAUAAUGAGAGUUCAGUAAGGCAGCCAGCUACAAAAUAAAUGUGCAAAAAUCAAUACCUUUCCUAUGUCCAACAGUAACCACUUAGAAAAAAAAAUAAUGGAAAAGAAAGAUCUCAUUCGCAAUAAAAAUGGGAGAUAUUUAUCACCCCAAGCAAACGUCCAGGAGGAGAUGUGUGUAACUGUCUCCCCAUUUGUCCAGGCAUCCUCCUGAGGUGGGGAAGAGUAGCUAGAGGAUGCAGUGUGGAUGCUUGCCUGGCCUCUAGGCUUCAGGCCUCUGCACAGUGGCGCGUGGGUGUGUGGGUGCUGUCUGCAUUUCCAAGGCUCAUUUGGUGGGUUGCUUUGGCUUUUCUGAGGAGGAACAAGUUCUAGUCAGUUACCAGGUUACUGGGCAUACUGCUUCCUCAUGUAGUUUCACUGUGUGUGUGUGUGUGCGUGUGCGUGUGCGUGUGUGUGUGUGUGUGUGUGUGUGUGUGUGUGUGUGCAUGCACGUGUGAAGCCCAGAGGGGUCGAUCUUAGGUGUUCCUCAGGUGCCAUCAUCAUGUUUAAACUAUUGUUUUUGAAACAGGGUGUCUCACUGGCCUGAACUCCCUGGUGAGGCCGGGCUGGCGGCCAGAGUGCCCAGGGACCUGCCUGUCUUCACCUCCCCAGCACUGGGAUUACAAGCGUGCACCAACACACCUGGAUUUUUCAUGUGGGUUUUGCCUCAGCAUAGAUUUAGUUUGCAGUUCUCUUGUUUGUGCACAACUUUUCAAGGAGAACUGCAAAAUGAUAUAUCUCUUACAAAGACGGUGAUUUUUAUUUCUUUAAUAAUCAGGCAGCAACGAAUCAGUGUUUCUGUAAGGACUGAGUGUUUGGAAUGGUUGUACGUUCUCCAGGGAGUGUAGACCUCGCUCGCUCUCUUUGCUGGGCUACACUGCCUGCCUCUCCCUGUCAGUGUUUGAAUCUGCCUUCCCAGUCCUUGUCUCGGAGGGAGGGAGAAGGCUUUCUGUGGCUCAGUUUGAGUCCGUCAUGUUGGAGAAGGCACAGCAGGAACAUGAGGCUACUGGCCAUAUGGUGUCCGCAGUCAGGGAACCAGGAGAGCUGGAUGCAGGCACGCAGGCACGCAGCUCAUUCUCUUCUCACUGUCUGGGAUCCCAGCCCACGGGGUGGUGCCGCUCAUAUUCAAGGUGAGUCUUUCCUCCCCAGUUAAUUCAAUUGGGAAAUUUCUUCUUAGACAUGCCCCAAGCCUUGUCUCCAAGGUCAUUCUGGAUCCUGACAUAUUGACAAUCAACAUUAACAGUUGCAGUAGGUAGAUCAGUUGCCUAUUGCUCCAAAACAUGCUGAGUAACAAUCACAGCACCAAGGAUGCAUGUAGGGUGCUGGCUGUGUGGUUCUGCCGAUGCUCCCUGGGCAUCACUGGUGGGUUCGGCUAGCUAUCACUAAUCUAGACUGCUCUUUUUACAUAGCCAUGUGUACAGCAUGAACUCAUGGUCAUAAAACAUAGUGUGCAUGGAACAGCAUGCUUUUUUGUCUCGCGAGUCUUCACUGGACUUGGGUUUUGGUUGGGUCCUAUGUUCCAUUCUGACUUUUAUAUCCCGUCACUCUCCCCACAUCUCCUUCAUUCCCUGCUUGUCCCUCUUCUCACACAUGCCCAGCAUUUCAAUCUCAGUCCUUCUCAGGAGUAUUCCUGCUUCUGCUGGGGUCUGUGGUGGACUCAAAGAUAGAAAUGCUCUCUGGUUCUCCAUGAGGAAUGUGAUGGGGAACUAAAGCGAAAGUAGUAACUUUGGCUUUCAGAGAACACUAACUUCCCUGGAGAAUUGGAAUCCUGCUGCAGAUGACUUUGGACCCAAAUUAUGACUGCCCAGGAUCCAGACUGUGGGUCUACACUGCCUGAAUUUGCAAGUCUCUACAACCUUGAUUGCUGUGGGAUGUUCUGUAUGGCAAAUGUGUUGCUCUGAUUGGUCAAUAAAUAAAUCACUGAUUGGCCAGUGGCUAGGCAGGAAGUAUAGGCGGGACAAGGAGGAGAAUAAAGCUGGGAAGUGGAAGGCUAAGAGGGAGACACUGCCAGCCGCCAUGAUGACAAGCCGCAUGUGAAGAUGCCGGUAAGCCACGAGUCAUGUGGCAAGGUAUAGAUUAAUGGAAAUGGAUUAAUUUAAGCUGUAAGAACAGUUAGCAAGAAGCCUGCCACGGCCAUACAGUUUGUAAGCAAUAUAAGUCUCUGUGUUUACUUGGUCGGGUUUGAGCGGCUGUGGGACUGGCGGGUGUCAGAGAUUUGUCCUGACUGUGGGCCAGGCAGGAAAACUCUAGCUACACUUGAUCUCUUUCUAUAGGCACACACACACACACACACACACACACACACACACACACACACACACAGAGCCACCCACUGCAGGAAGAUGAUUCAGCCCUUGAUGACACAUGGGAUGGCACACUACAGUGGAGCUGGAAGUUCUCGCUGCUUACUGACAUGAUAGCUACUUUAAUGUUAUUGCAUAGCCUGUCACAUACCUGUGGGGGUGCUGACUUAAACAAACCUACUGCCAGGUGGAUAAAAAUCCCACACAUACAAUUAUAUAUAAUGUGUGAUGCUGUGUCAGUUCCAUGGAGAUACCAUAACAGCUCUGUGCAUGAUAAUGUAUAGAUCCCAUGUACAACACUGUAACUAUUCUGUGAGUGAUACUGUAUCAAGUCCAUUCAAGUCACUGUAAUAAUUCCAUACAUGAUACUAUAUCCAUUCCAUGCAUGAUACUCUAAUAAUUUCUAUACUUGAUACUGUAUUGAUUCUGUACAUGACAUGGUAUCAAUUCCAUGUAUGACACUGUACUUAUUCUAUAUGGGACACUGUAGUGAUUCUGUGCCUGAUACUAUAACGAUGGUAAGAGACCAUGCCACUGGUUUUUGUAUUUAUUGUCCUGUAUUGGUUACUUUUGUUUUAGAGUAUUCUACUUACGAAUACAAGUUUAUUUGGAGCUAGAGAGAUGGCUCAGCAGUUAGGAGCACUUGCUGCUCUUGCAAAGGAGCCAAGUUUGGUUUCCAGUACCCACAACAGGCAGCUCACAGUCAUCCAGCUCUAGGGAAUCCAAUCUUGUGGCACCUGCACUCCAGUGCACAUAUCCCCGUCCAUACACAUAACUAAUAAAAGUAAAACAAACUUCAAAAAGAGGAGAGAGAACUGGCUUGGUGCUGCUGCAGGCUUGUAAUCUCAACACCUGGGAGGCUGAGGCAGGAUGACCAAGAAUUUGAAGCCAGCCUGGACCUCACAAGACUCUGUCUCAAAAUGUUUUUUGUUAUUGUUUUGUUUUUUAAACAAUAAUCCUUGUUAUGAGGGCAACAGUCUCAUCCAUCUUGUGGUCACUAUGUCUCUGGAUUGAAUCAAGAGAUCUGAACUCUGACCCCACACCAUCUUGUGCCCUGUGAGUACUCUGUAGAACGACAUCACCUUCUUGGGUCAAAUCCUGUGAAGGCAUUUGUGCUGGGAUCCAUCUGUGUCUGUAGACACAUGGAGACUGUUUCCCGAAGGAAAUGACUAACAGAGGGAUGCUGGGUUCCUGGGCCUGUUGCUUGCUUUCUCCGAAAUCAUCUUUGUUCCACAGUUUUGUGAGCCCUCAUAGGAAGAGAAUACUGACACUGUCUCUGGUCUGUUCAAACUCUCUUUUUAUAUUUACUCCAUGUCCUGUGUUGUCUCCAGAGACCUCUGGAGUGUUAACUAUCAGCCAAGUCUCGCUUCCAGAUAAGCAAUCUGUGAGGGGUGUGUGUGUGUGUGUGUGUGUGUGUGUGUGUGUGUGUGUGUGUGUGAGAAGGAUCAGGGGUAAGAAGUAUGUUUGCCUGGCACAAACAGAGGAUUUUUGUGGUUGGGGCACUCCAAAGAUUUAGACCAUCCUGAGUACUAUUUAUCCCUGGGCUCAGGUUCAGGGCAAACCCAGCAAGGAUAGUAAUAAUGACUUAGGAUGUUAUAGGCCAUUUUCUGCCAUUUAACCUACUAGGAUUUAUACUUGGAUCUUUGGGAUGAGAGGGGGGAGGCUCUGGGAAGUCUGAGUGUUCUGCACAGGAUGCUGCUGAUGUGCACUGACUCCCAGGUGAGGAUCUUGAGGGCUGACAGCAGCUGGGAGUGAUGGAGGUGGUGUCCCACUGUGACACUAGCACUCCAUGCUGGUACCUCAGCAGUUGAGUCAGGAAGGCUCUGUUGUCACACUGGUGACUCUACAGAUGCUCUGAGGGGCUGUCCUUCUGUGAUUUGACAGUGUGUUCUUGUGUCAUGGGAACCUGUGGCUGGGGACUGUGAGUGCCUUUUGAAAGGUCUAAGGGCGGUGUGUGUGUAGUGCAUAUGUGUGUAGUGCAUGUGCGUGUAGUACAUGUGUGUUCACUCAUGUGCACAUGCCCUUGGUCAUGCACUAUGACAGUGGAUGUCAGAGGUUGACUUUGAGUAUCAUCUAUUACUCUACUGUGGUGAUAUAUUGUUUCUCCCAAUAUAUUGUGCACCCUACAUUAUUUUUAAGAUUAUUUAUUAUUAUUAUUAUUUAUUAUUAUGUUUUUCAAGACAGGGUUUCUCUGUGUAGCUUUGGAGCUGUCCUGGAACUUGCUUUGUAGACCAGGCUGGCCUCGAACUCAUAGAGAUCCACCUGCUUCUGCCUCCUAAGUGCUGGGAUUAAAGGUAUGUGUCACUAACACCCAGCUUAUUUUUAUUUUUUAUUUUUUAAAAAGGGUAUAUGUGUUUGUCUGCAUGUGAGUGAAGGUGCCUGUGAAGUCCAAAGAGGGCAUUGGGUCCUGGAGCUGGAUUUAGAGGCAAUUGUGAGCCUCUUAAUGUGGGUACUGAACGGAACUCGGGUCCUCUGCAGUGGCAACAAGAGACUGUAACUGCUGAGCCGUCCUGUAGCCCCUCUACCUUAUUUUUUUGAGACAGGAUCUCUCACUUGGCCUGGAGCUCACCAUUUCUGCUAGCCUGGUUGGCCAGUGACCCCCAGGUGGAGAGGUGGAGAGAACCAGAAGAAAGUGCUGUCCAUGUGUGCCUUUAAUUCUGGAAACAAGCCUGCAGGGAGGUAGGCUUUCAUUUAGAGAAGAGAAGCUGGGCGUGUGACUUCAAUCCAAACCGCUCAGUUUAAGUCCCUUUCUCAAUAGGAAAUAAAGAAGAAAAAAGAGGAGAUUGCUGGGGAACCAGGGUGGCAAUUACGGUUCUCGUGGAGAAAGAACACAGCCUUUGCAGGUUAUAUCCAGCACCACAGACCCAGCAAGCCGCUGCUCGGCUAAUUAAAACCAGGACGAUGAGGUCAGAGUCGGGGCCCAGAGUGGGCUCGAGGGGCUGAUAAAAGGUGAGAUCAGGAGUGCAUGCUCCACUUUAGUCAGAUUCUCAGAGCCUUCCAAAUAACAUGGCUUGGUUUCAGCACUGUGCAGCUAGGGAUAGCUAGGAACAUGGCCCACCCAGUCAUAACCUACUUAAAGCAUCAUUAAGAGGUGCUUUUGUGAUUUUUGUGGGAGGAGCUCAACUGCACAGCUCUUGAGUGGAAACUUCGUAGAUGACUGCCAUGUAACGCUAUCCAAAGACUGAACUGGUGCGUGUGGCUUCGGCCUUCCCAGAAAUUGUGCUUUUUUUUUUCUCUCUCUCUAAAUACAUGGCCUCAUGUAGCCCAGGCUUCAACUUGCUGUGUAACUAAGAAUCACCUUUAGUAGAUUUUCUUGCCUCUGAAUGCUGGGUGUGACGGUAAGCUUAACUGUCUGCUUGAUACAAUCUGUCUCCUGGGAAGAGCCUCAGUAAGGGAUGUCUAGAUCAGGUUGGCUUGUGUGCAUAUCUGUACAGGGUUGUCUCCAUUUCAUUAACUGUGAGGGGAGAUCCUGUCCGAGAGUGGGGAGCCACCUUUCUCUAAUUUGGGGGCCUGGAUUGUAUGAGAAUCGAGAAAGCUGGCUGAGCCACACGCAGCAGGCGCCGACUUCUCUCGGCUCUCGACCGUGGCAUUGACCAGCUGCUUCCAACUCCUGCCACAGUGGCUUCCCUGCAGUGAUGGACUGUAACCCGGGACUGUGGGCUAAAAUAAACCCGUUCCCCCUUAAGUUUCCUUUUGUCGUCUAUUUUCUCACAGUAACAGAAAUGAAACGCAGGUGUGUGCCACCUACCAUGCCCUUUUGCUUCGUUGGAGUUGUCGAACCCAUGG